rnacentral:tRNA from 1 species
GCUUAUGAUGGCCGAGACACACAGGCAUCGAGCUUUUAACUCGACUACAGUGUAAACUUCUAAGCA